AUCCCAGACUCCUACGGGAGGCAGCAGUGGGGGAUAUUGCACAAUGGGGGGAACCCUGAUGCAGCGACGCCGCGUGGGUGAAGAAGCGCCUCGGCGCGUAAAGCCCUGUCAGCAGGGAAGAAAAUGACGGUACCUGAAGAAGAAGCCCCGGCUAACUACGUGCCAGCAGCCGCGGUAAUACGUAGGGGGCAAGCGUUAUCCGGAUUUACUGGGUGUAAAGGGAGCGCAGGCGGCGCGCCAAGUCUGAUGUGAAACCCCGGGGCUCAACCCCGGGCAUGCAUUGGAAACUGGCGGGCUGGAGUGCCGGAGAGGUAAGCGGAAUUCCUAGUGUAGCGGUGAAAUGCGUAGAUAUUAGGAGGAACACCAGUGGCGAAGGCGGCUUACUGGACGGCAACUGACGCUGAGGCUCGAAAGCGUGGGGAGCAAACAGGAUUAGAUACCCGGGUAGC
rnacentral:rRNA from 1 species